GAGUUUGAUCCUGGUUCAGAUUGAACGCUGGCGGCAUGCUUUACACAUGCAAGUCGAACGGUAACAGGUCUUCGGAUGCUGACGAGUGGCGAACGGGUGAGUAAUACAUCGGAACGUGCCUAGUAGUGGGGGAUAACUACUCGAAAGAGUAGCUAAUACCGCAUGAGAUCUACGGAUGAAAGCAGGGGACCUUCGGGCCUUGUGCUACUAGAGCGGCUGAUGGCAGAUUAGGUAGUUGGUGGGGUAAAGGCUUACCAAGCCUGCGAUCUGUAGCUGGUCUGAGAGGACGACCAGCCACACUGGGACUGAGACACGGCCCAGACUCCUACGGGAGGCAGCAGUGGGGAAUUUUGGACAAUGGGCGAAAGCCUGAUCCAGCAAUGCCGCGUGCAGGAUGAAGGCCCUCGGGUUGUAAACUGCUUUUGUACGGAACGAAAAGCCUGGGGCUAAUAUCCCCGGGUCAUGACGGUACCGUAAGAAUAAGCACCGGCUAACUACGUGCCAGCAGCCGCGGUAAUAC
rnacentral:rRNA from 1 species